rnacentral:rRNA from 1 species
GUGAACGCUGGCGGUAGGCCUAACACAUGCAAGUCGAACGGCAGCACAGUAAGAGCUUGCUCUUACGGGUGGCGAGUGGCGGACGGGUGAGGAAUACAUCGGAAUCUACUUUUUCGUGGGGGAUAACGUAGGGAAACUUACGCUAAUACCGCAUACGACCUACGGGUGAAAGCAGGGGAUCUUCGGACCUUGCGCGAUUGAAUGAGCCGAUGUCGGAUUAGCUAGUUGGCGGGGUAAAGGCCCACCAAGGCGACGACCCGUAGCUGGUCUGAGAGGAUGAUCAGCCACACUGGAACUGAGACACGGUCCAGACUCCUACGGGAGGCAGCAGUGGGGAAUAUUGGACAAUGGGCGCAAGCCUGAUCCAGCCAUACCGCGUGGGUGAAGAGGGCCUUCGGGUUGUAAAGCCCUUUUGUUGGGAAAGAAAAGCAGCAGGUUAAUACCCCGCUGUUCUGACGGUACCCAAAGAAUAAGCACCGGCUAACUUCGUG